rnacentral:rRNA from 1 species
UGUAGAUGGGCAUGCGUGACAUUAGCUAGUUGGCGAGGUAAUAGCUCACCAAGGCGACGAUGUCUAAGGGACCUGAGAGGGUGAUCCCCCACACUGGCACUGAGAUACGGGCCAGACUCCUACGGGAGGCAGCAGUAGGGAAUAUUGGUCAAUGGGCGAGAGCCUGAACCAGCCAUGCCGCGUGCAGGAAGACGGCCUUCUGGGUUGUAAACUGCUUUUAUACAGGAACAAAAAGCCGCUGCGGCGGAAAUUGCGUGUACUGUAUGAAUAAGCACCGGCUAACUCCGUGCCAGCAGCCGCGGUAAUACGGAGGGUGCAAGCGUUGUCCGGAUUUAUUGGGUUUAAAGGGUGCGUAGGCGGUCUGUUAAGUCAGUGGUGAAAGGUUACAGCUCAACUGUAGAAUUGCCAUUGAUACUGGCGGGCUAGAUUGUAGUAGAGGUAGGAGGAAUUGAUGGUGUAGCGGUGAAAUGCAUAGAUACCAUCAAGAACACCGAUAGCGAAGGCAUCUUACUAUGCUACAAAUGACGCUGAGGCACGAAAGCAUGGGGAUCGAACAGGAUUAGAUACCCUGGUAGUCCAUGCUGUAAACGAUGAUCACUCGCUGUUGGCGAUAGACAGUCAGCGGCCAAGCGAAAGCGUUAAGUGAUCCACCUGGGGAGUACGUCCNGCAGGAUGAAACUCAAAGGAAUUGACGGGGGUCCGCACAAGCGGUGGAGCAUGUGGGUUUAAUUCGAUGAUACGCGAGGAACCUUACCUGGGCUAGAAUGCGAGUGCUAUCCCCCAGAGAUGGGGAAGUUCUUUCGGGACCACGAAAGCAAGGUGCUGCAUGGAUGUCGUCAGGUCGUGCCGUGAAGUUGUGGGGUUAAGUCCCCGCNACGAGCGCAACCCCCUUGCUGUAGUUGGCCAGCACGUCAAGGUGGGGACUCUAAAGAGACUGCCUGCGCAAGCAGAGAGGAAAGGAGGGGACGACGUCAAGUCAUC